rnacentral:antisense_RNA from 1 species
AAGCUGGACGCGCGCAGUCUUGUCUGCUUACGAGGGCUCCUCCCUUCAUCUUUGGUCCCUCGGGGCGUCUGGGCAGCCUACGCUUUCCGGUGUGGAGAUGCUUGUGUCUGGGACCUCCUGCCAUUUCUCAGGACACCAUCCUGCUCCUAGCUGGGAGAUUCAGCAUCCUCAUGAAUGCAGGGCCCAAGGCCACCAACUGUUCCACCUGCUGUCAGCCAGGCCUGUUGCCCCAGCCCUAUACCCACAGCUCACCCAGCAGGGACUGGAGUGUGCUGCUGCACUGCUGGAGCCGGUCGCCCGGGUCGGAGGUUGGGAAGAAGACAGCCGCUGGCAGGCCGCUGGUUGGGGGGUCCAGCCGGAAGCCCACAGCGGUGAGGAGGGCCUGCCAGCCAGGGAUGCCACCCACUUUGUUCUCCACACUCUGCUGGGACGUGUACAUGGCAUUGCGCUGCCCAUUCUGGAUGCGCUGCAGGGACUUCUCCACCUGGGGGGGAAUUGGGGUAAACACUGGGAUGCUGGAGCUCAGGCAUCCCAGACAGGAGGAGUGUGUACUCACACCAGCCAGGAGGAAACAAGCCUGCCUGAGAGGACAGAGGAUCAGCCCUGGCUGUCCCUCGGGAGCGGGGGGCCUCCAAGGCACACUGCCCACUGGGUCAAGGAGUAUCCAGGAGGAGUUAGAAGCAUGACCCAUCCGCCUGGCACCAGCACCUGGGGCUGCCAGGCAGCCACCCCUGCAGCUGUGUUGACAGGGCCUGGCAGAGGGACUGACCCACCUUUGGAAAAUGACACCAGCAAUAUCAGGAUGUGUCAACUGGAUUUAUGUUAAGAAAAUAGGAUUUUUGGCGUUCCUCUGUUUCCCAAAGUUUGAGACACUUUCAGACACUCUGCUUUGCGGUUGUGGCCGAUGUUACCCAUGGGUGGGACUUUUGCUUUGCUCUAGAUUUUUGUAAUACCCUGGGGAGUUUCAGGGG